ACAUAGGAUAAUACUAAAUAGAGUGUAUAAUUAAUGCUUGCAUAUAUAAUGUAUAGGUUCAAAAAGUGUACCAAACAAAGUAUUAUUAAUACACAAAGCUAAUGCAUGCAUUAUUUUACCUAAUGCAUUCUACCAAACGACCCCUUAUUGCUGAAAAUAGAACAUUGGAAGUAAAUAAUUUAGAGAUGAAGGUUGAUAUUUGCAUGUAGCAUCAAAUAUGGUAAGUGCAUCACCCAUGUAUUCAUCAUGUGGCCAAUUCAUCCUUAAUAUUUCGCGAAACAUAGUAUGAGAGUGAUAAAAUGGUAAUCCCUUUUCUGAUACAGAUUUCUGCCAAAUUUCGUAGGGCUUCAAUCUUGUUCAUUUUUUCCCAUUUUCCAAUCAAUUCAUGAGAAACUUGCGUGAAGAGUGAAUCCUAAAGCUCAUUCUCCAGUGUUACUUCUUAAAUUGCUUUAAAUGAUAUUAUGUUGUCUGAAUAUCCCUUAAGCAUAAAUGUAUUAGUGGUGUACAAUUGGAUUAUAACUGCAAUUAUUUUCCCCUUAUAGUUUCCUUUCUUCUUAUGUAUAGACAUGAAAGAGAAUGAGAGUGGUGUAUAUGACAUCUAAUUUUAGGUUAAAACAGUGCAUCAUUUAUUUGAGAUAAAGGGAGUUGUUAUUCUUUGCUUGAUAAAUGUUGUAACAAGUUUGUUUUUCAAAUUUUCAGUCUAUAAUUUUACUUGUAAGAUAUUCCAAAACCAGACAUGAUGUCUUUCACCAAGUUACACUUUAUUAGAUUUCCUACUGUUUACCAUAAACCCCGCCUUUGGAAACGAUAGCAUAUUUGCAGCUAAUCAUUGGUUUCCCUUCAUUCAUGUGGUGAUAACAGUUGCACUGGCCAGCACCCUGCAUCGUGAAGAAUUUUUCAGUUGAACUAAUUGGCAAAUCAAAUAUGAAUAUACUUUAUAACAAUUCUGAAAAUUGUUUGUUCUGAUGACAGGCUUUUCCAGAGGAACUGUUUUCUGUGCUCCGUACAGUGCAUCUCCUGAGAGGACUUAGUGUUGGUCUAGGAAUUAAUUUUUCAUGUGUCGAGCAGUGGAGACCCAUUGCUGAAGAAGUUCUGUAUGUUGCUGGAAGACUUACAGCUAAAGAUCUGAAGCAAGUGCAUAGACGUGGAGCUUCUAGAGGAAGAUUUUGGAGAUAAUUAUUUAAUGUAUGGAAAUUAUCAAUAUGGGCCUACCUGGAAUAUGGUAUUUAUUGUAAUUUAUCCUAGUCAUGUUGAUGCCUUAGCUGCAUCCUUGUCAUGGAAAAUUCAAUUACAGAUUUUUCCUUUUUAGUUGUAUUGGAUUAGAAGUAUUGUCAAUAACAUUGACUACCAACAGUAGUCUUUCAGGAAUAUUUGUU